rnacentral:lncRNA from 1 species
GACAAUGCUGACAGGUGGCGCUUGAGUACCCGCUCAAGUUCGUAGCUGCUGGUUUCGUGUCGUAAAAUUCGGGAGUGAUCCGUUUUUGAAUCGGUGUAAUGGUGCUACUCUUUCUGCGGGAAACUUUGCAAGUGAAGUGAAGUGCGUUAAGCGUUACGCGUUACGAUUCCGUCGACUACCGUGAUUAAGUCUAGUUUUAGUGUGGAAUCGGUAAUUUGAAUCGGAAAUCGGUAUUUCGAAUCGAGAACUUGUUUGGUAAACCGGAUACCAAGCCGCCCAAUCCCGGAAACCGGCUUUCUCGACCGGAAACGGAGGUGUUUUAAUCUGUGAUACAAGGUGAUUUCCAGAACCGGAAACAGCGAUAUACUGAACCAGAAACAGCUAUAUUCUGAACUGGAAACGAAGCUUUUCACUCAGGCGAAGGAAGAAUUGUGAAUCCUGACCAUACCGCUAGCAUUUUCUAACCGGAAACAGCUAUUUUCUGAACCGGAAACGAAAUUUUUCUCUCAAGCGAAGCAGAGUUGCGAAUUCUGACCUUACCGUUAGCAUUUUCUAACCGGAAACAGUAACUUACAGAACCGGAAACGAAGCUUUUGACUCUGGCAGAGGAAGACUAGUGAAUUCUGAACAUACCGUUACUGCCCAACACCGGUAAUAACCCUGCCCUCAACCGGAAACAACCCUGUUUUCACUCGGAACCCAAGAUAUACUGAACCGGAAACAAUACUUUUUUAACCGGAAAUAGAGAUUUCCCGAACCGGAAGCAGCUAUAUUCUGAACCGGAAACGAAACUGUUGGUUCCGAUAGAGGAGGAAUAGUGAAUUCCGACUGUAACACCGGUAUUAACCCUGCCCUCAACCGGAAACAACCCUGUUUUCACCCGGAAGCCGCGAUAUCCUGAACCGGAAACGGGGUCUGCUGCCCGGAAGCGGGGGCUGGCGGGGGCCGAAUAAAUGCUCGUCGUGAUGGAAUCCUCGGAGAAGGGCGGGGGCGCUGAUCCGGCGGAGGACUGCGCCAAGCGCCUCAAGUCGAAGAACAACAACAACAACGAGGACAACAUCAACUUCAACAUCGACCACGGGCGGGCGCUUCUGAACUCGUGGCACCCGCACGUCUACUCCAAGCUCCCGAAGGCCCCGACGCCGCACCUCAUCUCCAACAUCCUGGGGAUCCCCGGGGGCGGCCGCGCCGGGGCCGAGAACGAGCAGCCGCUCACCUCACCACCAGAGUGCGCCGGCGAUCGCCCACGCCGGAUUUCCCGCGCCCCGGCUUCGCGGCCAAGGCUCCCGCGCAUCUGGGAAAUGGACUCAGGGGCUAAACGGCAACCCACCUCCGUCAUCCAGCCGGCUGGUGCUAAGGCUCCACGCAGACACUCAAACUCGGAUAAAGAGAGCACGAAGCGACGCUCGCGGAAAGAAGUGACGAGUGCGAAAGUGUCGAUGGGCGCCGGGGGGUUGGGGGCGGCGAAUCCCCUCGGGGGUCGGUGCUGUGCAGUGGGGGGGUUGGGGUGCGGGGGGCGUGGCCGGCGAGAGCGAGAGUUUGUCGGACACGGAGAGGAAGAGGAAGAAGGCCCGCACCACGUUCACCGGGAGACAGAUCUUCGAGCUGGAGCGACAGUUCGAGAUCAAGAAGUACCUGUCGUCCUCGGAGAGGGCCGAGCUUGCCAAACUCCUCGAUGUCACCGAAACGCAGGUGAAGAUCUGGUUCCAGAACCGGCGGACCAAGUGGAAGAAGUACGACAACAACAACAGCCUGGACGCGGCCGAGCAGAAGUCGCAGACCUCCGAGAAGUCGGACGCCGACGCCGGGAGCGUCUCCAAGAAGUCCGUCUCCAGCGUCGACGACCACUCCAGCCUCGACGGCGACGGCUCCGAGUCCUGCUUCAGCGUCACCGCCUCCGACCCGCCCCCCGGCCCCGUAGCCCCACCCCCCUCCACCCCCUCGCCUGCCGACGCCCCGCCCUCCCCCUCGCCUCCGCCCACCGUCCCCGCCCACUACGACCCCCUCCCACUCCCCGUCCCGCUCCCCCCCUCGGUGCCGCCCGGCCCCGCCCCAGCGCCACCGCCCCCAGCCGCCAGGACCUCCGCCGCCCUCGGAGCUAA